rnacentral:sRNA from 1 species
ACUAAUGAAUAUAGAUAUAAAUAGGAGUGUCUUGCACACUUUUAAUAUCCUCACUACUAUUCCCCCCACCCCCACUGGGUAAUUGCCCCACAAGCCACCCACUCACCCGUUCAACGGGGGAGAGGUCCACCGAAUUGGUGCUGUCUGCUCCUCCAGCACCCCCACCACUAAGCACACUGCCAAUGUUACCACUAUUCGUCCCAAACACCGGUGUGGUUGUUUUGAGGGAUUGGGGUUUGGCUUGGGUGGAAUGGUCUGUACCAAAGCUUUGGCGCAGCUUGGUGCGAACCUGGUUGGGGUCCAACAGGUUUUUAAGCCCUGGUCGAGUUGGGUCGUGUUUUCGACUUUCUUAGGUUUAAUCAAAUGGAGGUAGGGGGAGGUGUUUUGGGAAUUGGUUUGACCGGAGCUUUGAGUGGAAGCCUUGUACGAAUCCUUGUCGGUGGAGCUAAUUUGGUACGCGAGGGCAUUGGGGUGCUCCGGUAAGGCGUCCCCUGUUGCGGCGGCGGUGGUAGCUGCUUGCGCGGCCGCCUGAGCUUGAUCUUGUCACACCCCCUUUAAAUCCCACACACUCUCGACCCGGCCCAAGCGGUUGACCCAACUGCCACGAAAGGCCGCUCAGGGCCGCUUGGCCCAAAUGAGGGCGCGCUGCGUCGCAUCACUUGCAUCCAAGCCCGUUAACUGGAGCCCGAGGUAACCCGCGCGGGGUUUGACAAAGUCCGUGAAGGUGACCAGCCACCCGCCCAACUGGAAGCUCAAGCUGGUACCACUGACAACGAGGUUACCAACGUCUUGCGGCGUUCAAGCCAACCCGGGGGUGAUCAGCACAGCCUUCGAAUCAUUAUUUUGUUCGGGAAUUUUAAAACCGAUACCGGGUGAACUGGUCGUGUUGGACCCCGAACCACCCGCUCGCGUCGUCCCAAAAUAGGUUUCCACCAACGCCGGAUUCAACAACCCAUUCACUUCACCAUAAGCGGGGAGGUUGAGCUUGGUUUGGUCCGACUUUAAGUCGGUGUAAGACCAUUUUUGGUCGGUGGCUUGGAAUUUGUUGGAAUCAUCUGACCCACUUCGAUUCACCAACACCGGGAUGCUGCCCAACAAGCCGCGGAGGAAGAGCUGGGCGCGCUGCGCGUUGUUCUUGUUGGUGAAUGACAGCGCGUUCGGUCAAUCGGAUGUGGGGGUGAGGUUGGGGGGGAGGUGAUCAUAAUUCGACGCGGAUUCCGUCGUCGAAUUAGACUGGGGCGCGCCGUCCUGCGUGGUUAAGUUCUGACCUGAUUUACUAAUCUUAUCCUGCUUUAACGAGUCGGGAUUGCCCGCUGAACCACCC